GGAUCCAGACUUUGUUAUGGCUCAGGACGAACGCUGGCGGCGUGCUUAACACAUGCAAGUCGAACGGAGCACCCUUGAUUGAGGUUUCGGCCAAAUGAUAGGAAUGCUUAGUGGCGGACUGGUGAGUAACGCGUGAGGAACCUGCCUUUCAGAGGGGGACAACAGUUGGAAACGACUGCUAAUACCGCAUGACGCAUUUUGAUCGCAUGGUCGAAAUGCCAAAGAUUUAUCGCUGAAAGAUGGCCUCGCGUCUGAUUAGAUAGUUGGCGGGGUAACGGCCCACCAAGUCGACGAUCAGUAGCCGGACUGAGAGGUUGACCGGCCACAUUGGGACUGAGAUACGGCCCAGACUCCUACGGGAGGCAGCAGUGGGGAAUAUUGGGCAAUGGGCGCAAGCCUGACCCAGUAACGCCGCGUGAAGGAAGAAGGCUUUCGGGUUGUAAACUUCUUUUAAGUGGGAAGAGCAGAAGACGGUACCACUUGAAUAAGCCACGGCUAACUACGUGCCAGCAGCCGCGGUAAUACGUAGGUGGCAAGCGUUGUCCGGAUUUACUGGGUGUAAAGGGCGUGCAGCCGGGCAUGCAAGUCAGAUGUGAAAUCUCA
rnacentral:rRNA from 1 species